rnacentral:rRNA from 1 species
UGGGGAAUAUUGCGCAAUGGGCGAAAGCCUGACGCAGCGACGCCGCGUGGAGGAUGAAGGUCUUAGGAUUGUAAACUUCUGUUAAGUGGGAAGAAAAGUCUGCGCUUAAUACGCGUUAGAAAAUGACGGUACCAUUAGAGAAAGCACCGGCUAACUUCGUGCCAGCAGCCGCGGUAAUACGAAGGGUGCAAGCGUUAUUCGGAAUUAUUGGGCGUAAAGGGUGUGUAGACGGUGUAUUAAGUCUGUUGUUAAAUCUUCUGGCCUAACCGGAAAUCUGCAGUAGAUACUGAUAUGCUAGAGGAUGGAAGAGAGAAGUGGAAUUCUCGGAGUAGCGGUAAAAUGCGUAGAUCUCGAGAGGAACACCAAUGGCGAAGGCAGCUUCUUGGUCCAUAUCUGACGUUGAGACACGAAAGCGUGGGGAGCAAACAGG